UACGGGGGGGGCUAGUGUUACUCAUCAUUACUGGGUGUAAAGCGUGUGUAGGCGGGCCGUUAAGUAUCUUGUGAAAUCCCCCGGCUCAACCGGGGAAUGGCUGGAUAUACUGGCGGUCUUGAGCGAUCUAGGGGCAGAUGGAACAAGUGGUGGAGCGGUGAAAUGCGUAGAUAUCACUUGGAACGCCAAAGGUGAAAACAGUCUGCUGGGGAUCUGCUGACGCUGAGACACGAAAGCCAGGGGAGCGAACGGG
rnacentral:rRNA from 1 species